GCUUUCACAAUCUUUCACAUGGUAACACAGCCUCUUCCUCAAUAGAUUGAAAGAGAUCGCAUCUAUCUACCCUCCGCGGCCGAGAAGAUGUACGGCACCGCCACGACUCCCAGCACCAUGGGCGCAUUCUCCACCGCCUCAUCAUCCACCUUUGCAUCCUCCUCCACAGCCACGACCACCCCUCUCGGACCGCUGCCUCAAGAGAAGCUCACGAGGGGCAACUUCCUGCUAUGGAAAGCCAUCGUGCUACCCCAGAUCAAGGGUGCACAGAUGAAGCACCACCUCGAUGUGAAGAGCCCAGCACCACAGGCGACUCUCACCAUCACCAAGGACAGGAAAGAAGAGCAAGUCGCCAAUUUCACCCGAUCCCUCUGGUAUGCACAGCAGCAACAACUCCAAGGGUAUCUGAUGGGGUCUAUUUUCCGUGAUAUCCUUGCCUAGGUCGUCAUGCUCCAGACGUCGGCCGAGGUGUGGCGCGCCAUCCACGCCAUGUUUGCUACUCAAAGUCAAGCUCAGGCGAUCAAUACUCGUAUUGAGCUCACAAAUCUGCAAAAAAGUACUAUGACUAUGGCUGAGUACCUUGGACAAACUAAAGCUCUUACAGAUGAAGUUGCUUCUAUCGGUGUCGCCCUCUCUGAUGUGGAGAUCACAUCCAAGAUCCUCGCCGGCCUCGAUUGGAAUAUAAUCCAGUCAUGUCGAUGCUCGCGGCUUGGGUGGAGCCUAUCACGGUUCAGGAGAUCUACAGUCAGCUUCUGAGUUUUGAUGCCCGCCUCACCCUCCUCCAUGCCACUAAUUGUCGUCAAUUGUACGCCAACUCUGCCUACCGCAGUCAUGGUCGUGGGCGUGGGCAACAACACGGCGGCAGUCCUGGCUGUGGUGCCUCUCCGGGUGAUGGCGGUCGCUCUGUUGGCGGCGGCUACGGUGGGUCCUCCGGCAACACCAGCGGCGGCGGCGGCUUCAACAACAACAAUAGCAGUCGCACCUCUUCUUCUCGUGGACGGCCUCGCUGCCAACUAUGCAAGAAACUCGGCCAUGAUGUGAUGGACUACUGGCACCACUACGAUGAGGAUUGCGUCCCCGAUGCAUGCCAUGUUGUUGCUGCCAUGCAUGAUUAAGGAGGCGAUGGUGUUUGUUACGUUGAUUCCGGCAUCACAAAUCACGUAACCAGUGAACCUAAGCAACUUUCUCUCUAAGAGAAGUACCUCGACAAUGAUCAGAUUCAUACUGCAAGUGGUGGAGGAUCAUGUCACGAGGGAACUUCUCCAUCACGGUAGAUGCAUCGGAGGACUCUACCCAAUCACACGUGGAGCACUUAGACACAAGAAUCGUCGGGUCUAUUAUGCCAUCAAACCAUCUUUGGCACGGUGGCAUCAACGCUUAGGACAUCCUUCAUCGGUUAUUUUCAAACAAGUACUCAAAUAAGGCAAUCUUCCAUUGUCACAUAGUUCUGUGAGUGAGUCUAUUUGUGAAGCUUGUCAAUGUGCCAAGAGUCACCAACUACCUAAUCCCAAGUCAAGUAGUGUGUCUCGUGCUCCUUUAGACCGUAUUUUUAGUGAUGUAUGAGGUCAUGCCCGAGAUUCCUUUGGAAGAAAGAAAUACUUUGUUAGCUUCAUUGAUGAUUACAGCAAGUUCACCUGGAUUUAUUUGCUUAAGUAUAAAUCUGAAGUGUUCUCUG